CUGUGAGCUAUGCUGGUUUUCAUCUGAGCUAUGGGCAUACUGGUCUUGACCUACAGGCUGACUUCCAGCUUGACUUCAUUGCAAUUUUGCCUUAAGACCUAGGCUUUUGGUUGGACCUGGCCACCACCUGCAGGUCUGCCUGCUCCUCCUACUCAGAGGAAAUCACACAUGUGAAGGGGUGUGGAAGGUCUUAUGUUCAGAAUUUAAGUAUACAGAUUGUUUUAAAAAAUAAUGUUUGGAAUGGAAGAGGGAAGGUGGAGCAGUGGCAGCCAUCCAUCUGGUGGAAGAAGGCAGCAACAGGGAGGGUACUCUGAGAUUGCUUUCUGCAAAGAGGCAAGCUGGCAGUUUUAAUUGUAGGAGGAACACACCCCGAGGUCAACCACAGCACUGAAUCAUGGCAUGUAUGGCUGUCCUUCCAUCCCCUCCACAGCCUUUUUACCUCAAAAAACAAAGAUAAGCUGAUGAAAAGGUGGAGUCAUUGAGUCACCUGGGAGUGUAGUUUUGCCCUGACAGCCACCCAGUUCCCAUCUCCUAACUGCAGCUCUGUCAGUCCCUAAUUCAGCAACCCCUUAACCACCCCACGGUGACCCCCAAUUACUGAAGUGGCAGCUGUACAGUUCACUUGCCUCUGGUUGAGCUGAUUUUUUACCAUUAUGGUCCCAACCACCUGCUGUGCAUUUGAUGUAACUUUUCAAUUAACAUUCUCCAAGGAUUUGUAGCCUUUGGUGUGUGUUGCAGCCUCGGCCAUUCCCACACCCAUCACCCAUGGGCUGCAGCACUAUAACUCUUCCUACCUGCUGCACAAACACAUCAGGCACAGAUUUAAUGGCAUCCAACUAAAUCCCUCCAGUCAGAGACGUGUAAAUGUGUAUGUAAAGGCUGAGCAGAAGAAGCCUAAAUGCAAAAGCAAAGUAUUAUUGAAUGUGACUAGUGCCACUCACACAGACAGACACAGGAUUACAGCCCAGCAAAUGAAGGUUGAUACGGUAACUGCACCAGGCAGGAGCAGAAGCAAAGCUGUCCUUCUCGAUAUCAGGGUACCACAAACAGUCCAGGAGCAGAGGUGCACUGCUGCAGCUCUCCUGCCCGCCGUCCAGCUUCUGCUCAAUGUCCCAUCCCAAAACCCUCGGUGCUGCACGAUGGUGGAGGCAAGCCUGGAAGAUGCCCGAAGGAGCCAGUAAUCUGCUGGGGCUCAGUGAUGUGCUAAGGAUCUCAGAAGGAUCCCCCACUCCCGGUAUUGCUGAGAGCCCCCGAGGUUUUAUUUGGUAAUUAGUCAAGGUUCAGUAUGGAAUGGAGGCAGCUGCUCUGUAGCUCACACCAAAGCUCACAGCCCAACUUUCAAUACUGCGCCUUUGCCCUGUUUGCCAAAGCACCACCUCACUUACAUGUUUGGAGGAGAAACUGGGUUUUAAAAGGUGAUUAUUCUCUACCCCAAGCCCCUCAACACACACCCAUGCCCCCAAACACCUAGAAAACAUAGUUGUAAAGUCACAGAGCUUGCUUUUAGCCAACAUUAAUCAAGAGAGCACCAACCAAAGUUGCUGAGAUAAUGAUGAUUUAUUUCAGUGUUAAUAGCUUGCCAAGUAGAAAAAUCUCCUCACACAACUAGCAGCCGGCUUGCUAGGUUGCCAUCUCAAAAAGCAUGUUUGGGAGCACAGGUCCAUUAGGCUGGAAGUGUGCUGAGGUGUCAACAUUUGCCAUCAUCAAGUCAAAAGGUCUUGGAUUGAGUUGUCUGAUCCUAAUUUCCAACCUUAGGAUGCACCUUUUGAAGUGGUGACUUUGCAAGGGGCCAUUAUUUAACGCAGAGGAUUGUCUAAUGUUAGAACAUGAGGGGUUUCCAUGCUAUGACUGUAAUAUAAUUUGUUGCAUUAUUAGGUGAGGCAUGUUUAUUUGCUGCUAUUACUAUGAAGGUUUCACAUCAACAAGAAAAACGCAAGUUACCUUUUGUCUCUGUAGAGUGUCUUUGAAUUAGAAUUGUUAAUUCAAAGGUUUGUCUAAGUUUGUAUGCUUAUUUCAUUUGUCUAAGUUUGCAUGCUUAUUUCUCCAACUGUAGCAAUUAUUUCAUGGUUCCUAAUGCCACUGAUAUGAUAAACAAUAUUUAUGCCUCACUGUAAAACAUUUUAUAACUUUCUUUUAA